rnacentral:lncRNA from 1 species
UUGUAUGGUGCAAGAUAACCUGAUCGGUUUGGGUACCAUGAGUCGACAAGAUAGAACUUCUCUACAUUUUCAAUUUUAUUUAUGUAAGUCACAAGGCAAGUAUUGCAAUAAUGAGACAAAAGAGAGCAUAGAACACGUCAAUACCUUGAGAUGGAUGUGGAAAUUUAUCUCCGUACUUCUUAAUUGCAUCUUUGAACACCCUCAUAUCAUGAAUUGAUCUAGGUCAUCCCGCAACGACAAAAGUAAAUCUCAUAUUGAAGUCACAUAUGGCUAUCAUAUUCUGACUUGUAUAUCCAUGUCUUCC